ensembl:lncRNA
ACUUUUUUGUAGAGAAACACAACCCUGUAAUCAGACAACAGGCAACGCAAAAAUCACCAGCUGUACGUGACGCGGAGGUGUGAGUACGGGCCCACCUGUAGACUGUAGACAGAAUCGAACAACAAACCCGGUUCGCGGAGAGCAAAACAAGUAUUUUUGCAUAGGCACUUUAUAAGUUACAUUCGUCAGUAAUUGUAGGAAGAGGAAGCAAGCUGUUAUCGUAAUGCUAUUAUGCAAUAACGUUGAAAUCAUUUGCACUAUCAUCAAAAUUUGUUCUAGUCUCCCAGCUUCAACCAGAGAGUCAGACACGGACCUUAGAGAGACAGUGAGAGAGAGAGAGAAGGGAAGAGAGUGGGAAUUCAAUAACUACUUAGUAACUCUGCUUUGACUUAAUACAUAGUUGUUGUAGAAGUGAAUGAGCAGUUUGUCAUGUCCUGCUACCUUCUGUCCAGUCACCUUCGAGCUCAGUAGACAGCAACAUGUUGCUCUUCUUAAGGCUCCUAUACUGACAGCAAAAGUCAGCAUGUGAGUCUGAAGUACCACUGGCAAAGCUCAAUGCAGCACCCAAAGGUGAAAGAGUUAGCACCAGUUAUUAAAUUCUUUAAUGAGCGUUAAACAAACCAGGCGUUAACAUCAACACUCCCAUUUCUGUUUGUCCUCCACUCAAAUCGACUAGGUUUAACCCGUCAGAUCACCCAUUGUGGCAUGACUGACAUUUAUUUCCAAAGUGUAGAUGCCCACCGUGCCCCUUACCCCAAACCCUUUUGCCCCAAGAGAGCCAGGCCACAAUACUGGUUCUGCAUUGAAUCUCAAAAAGUCUCUCUGAUGCCAUGGCUAAAUGGACUGUCCUGCCAUUGUUGGAGUAUCCGCUGCUUUUGAAGGGAAUGCUUCAAUGCUUUGCGCAACUUAUUCACUCUCGGUCCCUUUAACCACAAUGACAAUGCAUCCCUUUACAAGGACAGGAGACCCGCAUCAAAGCAAGAAAAAUGAACUGGCUCGUUAGCUGGUCCUGUGGUGGACUUUUAUGCACAAAAUACAAAACAACCCCCCCACGUGCCACUUCAGAGGGGCAGCCGGCCUUCAUGGAGUGUGCAAGGACCACAUCUAGCCAGAGCAGAUCAAUGUGUGAGACGGUCCAAUCGUGCUCUUGCUGUUCGGUAGCAGGACAAUUACAUUUGAAUCUACAGUAAACCUAUAUUGUCUCAUCAAUAAGGUAUGCAUUUUGUGGAUAAUUCUGCCAUUUGUAAUACAAUCUGCUGCUUUUUCUCAUUUCACAUUCUCCAAAUCAAACUCCUAAGGGAC